CCCCAAGGGUGCAUACUGCUCCCAGAUGGUUCUACAAAUCCUGCUGUGCACCCUACCCAAAGCCCCACUGAGGAGGGUCACUGCUGAUGAGGGGGGGCACAGCUCCACCUCCUUUGCUCCUGAGCACUUUCUGCUGCUGGCUUUGCCUCUCUACCUGCUGUUUAUACUUUCCUGGCAGAAUGUUUUACAGAAUCUGCUUCCUUGAAAUCAAAGUGAAGCAACAGCUGUGUUUGCAUCAAGUUGCAACAUCUCCUUGCUGGAUGGAGGCACAUCUUGUCACAAGUGGCGCUGGUAGCAACAACUCAGUGAAAGAACCUGCCUGGCUGGGAUCUGCUCACUCCUCUGAGGCCUCAAGAAGAAGCUUUGAAUGUGGUGCCAGCACAACAGCAAUGAGAGAAAAUAAGACAAGUACCUCCACGAUGCAAUAAAUACUACUGUUAUUUCCUAUUGUUCAUCUGAAUCUCCACCCCUGAGAACUUGAGUUAAAUCCUAAAUUUUCCUUUUAUUUUUAGGCAGAAUAUCCAAAAAGUUAAAAAACAGCGUCACAAGGAGGUCCUAAGAUGGGGCUUGCUCCAGUUUUCCUGCUGAGCGUGUGUUUAGGAAUUGCUGCUAAAAAAAAGUCAAGAGAGGAUGGUAGUUGCUGUGCUGUCACAUGGCCUGAUACAGCACAGAAUCUGCUUAGCAUUCUUGAAGGGAAAUUACCCAGUGCUGCAACUCACAAUUUAUAAUUGGUUGCGUAUUAAUAGCUAAAAAAGGCAAUAAAAUCCACUGUGUGUUUAAAAAAAAAUAGUAAGUAGGAGUAUUACAAGCUGAGCAGUGAAAAUCUGGAAGACUUCUUGGCUAGAGCAGGGCUGUGUGCAGUGUUGUUUCUCCAGUAUUAAUUACAAGCAAUUUUAAAUCAUCUCCUUCCUUCAAGGAAGGAUUUUGUUCAGUGUUUUUGUUAAUUUUAAUCUUGCUAAUGUGAUACUCUCUUGGAACCUCUCCCUUGUGUCAUAACAUUGAGACAUGCUGCCUCUUUUGUCCCUGCCCUUUGGGGAGCACAGUUACUGCUGCUUGUUGCCUAACCCUGCUGUCGUGACUAUCAGUACACCUCCCUUGGAAGGAAAAGAAACCAAAACUCAACAGCAGAAUUGUUCUUCCCCCUCCAGAGUUCAUUUUUAUUUGUAGUAUUUAAGCUACACUGUGCGAGUGCCUCAUGAAAAAUGGGGGUUUAAAAUGUAUGGUGCUGUAUUAGAGUGGAAAGAUUGUUAUUCAGCACACUAAUUAUUUCUGAGUCACUGUAUUUAUAAAAUGUCACGUAAUAACUACUUCACCACACGAAAAAUAAAUAGUGCAAAAGCAGGCACUUUAUGAUUUUGACAUUUCAGUGUAUAAACAUAUUCCAGAGUCUCUCUGGGGGCUACUGGGAAUCAGAUAAUGUUUUUAUGACUUCUAAAAAAAUGACAUUGAAUUUCAUAAUCUGUAACACUCCAUAUAUAUCGUUAGUGUUGAGCAUUUUAUUACAGCCUCAGUGGCUUAUACUGCAAGUGUCAGCUGCAAAGAGAAAGUUGGGGUUGUGGAAUCGGGGGGAGGAACAAGAGGGAAAAGCCUUGCAGUGCACCUCAAAGCCCUUGGACCAGCUGUAAUGGCAGAUUCCAGGCCAUGCUGGGACACCAGAAUUCCCUGAGUUUUUUCAUUUCAGGAUGGAUUACAGAGCCCUUGCUGAUGGAGGCUUCCUGCUCACGCUUGUCACUAGAGGAUAACUGAGUUUGGGAUUUUGUCAAGCCCUGUGAGAAUGACCUGUUAACUCCAAAAUAACUGGGACACCGUGAGCAACACUCUGGGAGAAUGCAACUCCUGUCCUUGCCCUCCUCUGCAGAUAAAUACAGCACGCCCUUUACUGCUGAGUGCUUUGGGAAGAAUGUCAGCCAGACAAGAGAGGGG